rnacentral:lncRNA from 1 species
GGUGUCUGGGUCCCUGCCCUCCAGCCGCCUUUGAGUUGUGCCUCGGUCACGCUCCUCGCCCAUGCCUCAGAAACAUGAAGAAAGGAAGCUCUCGUGUUUGAUAGAAAACCUAGUUGAAUGCAACAUGCUCCCCUUGUCUGACGUGUUUAUUCAAGAUGAGCUGCGCAAAAAGUUGCAUCAGACGUUGAAGGAUCGGGGUGUACUGGGCAUACUCAAGGUAUUUACCAUGCAGGAUCUAUUACAACUCAUUAAAAUCAAUCCUACGUCCACUCUCUACAAAUUAUUGUCCAACAGGCUCCCUGUGUCUGACUUGUUGAAUCAAGAUGAGAUGCACAAAAAGCUGUACCAGACAUUGAAGGAUUGGGGUGUACUGGACACACUCAAGGUUUCAGGAUUUGAUAAAGUAAACCAAACAGUUCUGCUGUUUUCAUUUGGAAUGAAGGAGGAUACUGGAUUUACCAGAUUGUGUGGUGGUUCCUUGAACCGGAGGGAUGCAACUUACAGGUAACAAGGGAAUUCACUUUUUCUAGAAUCAUCUUGGGGGGCCAGGAAGUGCUUCCCAGUGUCAUCGCCUGGCUUCAUGAAUGCCAGGGCUCUGCUGGUCAAAGCAUGGAGUGAUUCAAAGGACCAUAAUCUUUCUGUCUGUUGACUUUCACCUCUCUUAAUUCAGAGGUUCUUCCUCAUGGUUUGUCUUAACUUUACAGUUACGAAGUUAGAAGACUGCAGACUAUUUGCUUUGCAAAGCACUAGAGGAGUUAUUGGCUUAUCGCUUCAUUUUAUAGUUGAGGAAAUUGAGGUCAUCAGAAGUGGAGCAACAUGGAAAUAUUCAGUCUGCAUCAGAACAGAGAGUGGAGUCCAAAUUCUCCCAUCCAUGAUCUAGAGCUUUUGGUUCUUUACGCCAGUCUGCAUUAUCAUCCUGACCUUCAGUUUUGUGCUCAGUAGAGAUGGGGAGUAGCCAUUUAAAAUGAUGUGCUUAAUGGAACUCUUGGCUGUCUUUACUCUUAAAUAGUGAGAAUAAGUUGUAAGAAGAUAAGUUUGUAAUUUGUACAAUGUAUUCUAUGACUAUGCCUUUAAUUAAGUAUAAAUUUAAUUCCAUUAGAAACACAUUACUUGCUAACUAACAAGCAGUGUUGUCCAAUACGUGAG